AUCCAUCUGACGAGUCACAAAUAGGAUGAAACGUACAUCCUGGAU
rnacentral:hammerhead_ribozyme from 1 species